GGCCUACCAUGGUUUUAACGGGUAACGGGGAAUUAGGGUUCGAUUCCGGAGAGGGAGCCUGAGAAACGGCUACCACAUCCAAGGAAGGCAGCAGGCGCGCAAAUCACCCAAUCCCGACACGGGGAGGUAGUGACAAUAAAUAACAAUACGGGGCUCAUUUGGGUCUCGUAAUUGGAAUGAGUACAAUUUAAAUACCUUAACGAGGAACAAUUGGAGGGCAAGUCUGGUGCCAGCAGCCGCGGUAAUUCCAGCUCCAAUAGCGUAUAUUAAAGUUGUUGCAGUUAAAAAGCUCGUAGUUGAAUUUCGGGAUUCGUCCAUUGGUCAGGCUUAACUGUCUGUAUUGAUGUGUCGGAUUUCUACCUUCUGAAGAACCUUCAUGCCAUUAAUUUGGUGUGUUGGGGAAUCAGGACUGUUACUUUGAAAAAAUUAGAGUGUUUAAAGCAGGCUAACGUCUGAAUACAUUAGCAUGGAAUAAUGAAAUAGGACGGUACGGUUCUAUUUUGUUGGUUUCUAGGAUCGCCGUAAUGAUUAAUAGGGAUAGUUGGGGGCAUUAGUAUUCAAUUGUCAGAGGUGAAAUUCAUGGAUUUAUUGAAGACUAACUACUGCGAAAGCAUUUGCCAAGGAUGUUUUCAUUAAUCAAGAACGAAAGUUAGGGGAUCGAAGACGAUCAGAUACCGUCGUAGUCUUAACCAUAAACUAUGCCGACUAGGGAUUGGACGAUGUUAAUUUUUUAAUGACUCGUUCAGCACCUUACGGGAAACCAAAGUGUUUGGGUUC
rnacentral:rRNA from 1 species